rfam:Myotis davidii contig9294, whole genome shotgun sequence.
GGUGGUUCUUGGGUGAUGCACCUCGGAAUCGGGCACCCUUCUCUCUGGUUCCAGGUGCGUCACCCUAGAACUGCA